UUCUAGUGUCAACAUUUGUGAUUUGUUUACUGGUUGCUACAUUUGUGUACUCAACAUAGCCUGUUGAUUAUAUGUAUGAUGCAGGAAAGUACUUUUGUGUUCAUUACACAUCAUUCAAUAUGUUUUAAAUGAUUUCUAAUUGUACCCUUUAUACUCUGGCAAUUAUAUGAUCUGGUAAUCAGUAACUGAAUGUGUGGCCUAUAUAUAUGGAGGAGGUCCUACCAAAUUGAUAUCUAUCUUUUUUGACACAUCUAAAAGACUUUCCAAUUUAAUCAUGAUUUGGCAGAAACCAGGAUUAUUAUCUAUCAUACUUCUAUGGACAAAGAAGAGUUGUCACCAUAAAUGAUCUGUCAGAGAGAAAGGAUGUCAUCGACUACUCAUGCACAGGAGGCUGCUGAGGGGAGGACAACUCAUAAUAAUGGCCGGUUCAGAGUGAAUGGAAUGGCAUCAAACAUAUGGAAACCAUGUGUUAGAUGAAUUCGAUACCAUUCCACCUAUCCCGCUCCAGCCAAUACCACAAGCCUGUCUUCCUCAAUUAAGGUGCCAACAACCUCCUGUGUACUCAUGGUCAUACUCAUUCACUCGUGCUGUCCUGCGUCAUCCACAACCAUCAUCCUAGUCUGACAGGGAACACCCUUGAGGAUUAAUUAGAUCUAGGUGUUGAAGGUUAUGAUGGACACAGAGACUUAUAUAGAGUUAGACACAGAGGAGGGACUCUUGAACCUUCAGUCCAGUUUCACUCAAAGCUCAGGAGCAGUAGAGCUACUUACCUGCUGCUGACUAGAGGGGCUCCAGUCCUCCCUGUCAGGCCAGCCUCAUACUGCAGAGACAGACAGCAUGGUUCACCCCAUCAUGGUUGGCAUUGUCACUGCCAACACCUCCCUAGCUAUCAUCCUCUGGAACUUCCUAUUGUCUCAAGUUUUCUGCAGGAAGAUCAAGGAUGCACCCAACCCUGAGGAGGUCGUCCCAGUCUGAACUGGAUCCUAGGCCCAGACCCAGAUGAAGAGGAAGGUGCGUGUGAGCCUACAGGAGUGGAGAAGGAGGAGAGGUGGAAGACUGCCGUCGAGGCGAAGAGGUGGAUGACCAUGAAAAUAGAAGAGGAGAGGAAGGGGGUCCUUCCAUUAGUCAAGUCUCCCAGCAUGUAAAAAAACAAAGACUCAACUUUCCUCUCCAGAAAACAGACUCACAUCUCUAUUAGGCUAAAUGUUAUUCUGACCCCAAUUGACUAAGUUCCCUUGAUAGCAAUACACCGUCCAGUCUAUUCUGCUCUCCGCUCUGUCCUCAAUUCCUCCCAGGUUGGCUCCCAAGCAACCAAAUCCCAUUUCUGUUACUUCUAAACCAAUCCUGUUUUGAUACAAAUUAAGUGAAACUGCAACCCAAUCUAUUUACACAAUGUAAUUUUAGCAUCAGAGGCAUAGUAUAAACUAAGUUACUGUAUAUACAAACAAUGUUACUGUUUUAUCAUUUUCUGUACUGUAUAAGAUAACAAAUGUAGACAAUUUGAACAAUUAAAUGGUGCAGAAACAUUCA